GCCGGAGUAGCUCAAUCGGUUAGAGCGCGUGGUUGUGGUCCACGAGGUAGUUGGUUCGAAACCAUCCUCCGGUACCA
rnacentral:tRNA from 1 species